rnacentral:rRNA from 1 species
UACGAAGGGGGCUAGCGUUGCUCGGAAUCACUGGGCGUAAAGCGCACGUAGGCGGAUCCUUAAGUCGGGGGUGAAAUCCUGGAGCUCAACUCCAGAACUGCCUUCGAUACUGAGGAUCUCGAGUCCGGGAGAGGUGAGUGGAGCUGCGAGUGUAGAGGUGAAAUUCGUAGAUAUUCGCAAGAACACCAGUGGCGAAGGCGGCUCACUGGCCCGGUACUGACGCUGAGGUGCGAAAGCGUGGGGAGCAAACAGG